AAAAAAACAAACCAUAGGUUUUCAUGCCAACAUUUAAAUGUCCAUCUUAUACGAAAUUUUUUUAUAAUUAGUAUUUUUAUUGUUGUUAGAUGAUAAAACAUGAUUAAUACUUUAUGCGUGACUUAUCUUUUAAUUUUUUUUAUAAUUUUUUCAAAUAAGACGGACGGUCAAACGUUGGACACGGAAACCAGGGUUUGUCUUUUU
rfam:Oryza nivara chromosome 7, whole genome shotgun sequence.